rnacentral:lncRNA from 1 species
CAGGAGUGGGUGAGGGAUAAGACUACACAUAAGGUGGAGUUCAUACACAUGAGGGAUAAGACUACACAUAAAGUAGAGUUCAUACUGCUCACAUGACAGGUGCACCAAAAUCUCAGAAAUCACCACUGAAGAACUUAUUCAUGUAACCAAAAACCACCUGUUCCCCAAAAACUAUUGAAAUAAAAAAAGAACCUCAUGAAUAUUUUUUAAAAGCCUAUGGGAAAAAAAUUACAAUCUAAGUUAUGACUAUUACCACCCUUUCACCAUUUCUGAAAGCUCAGCUGAUUCUAUAUGAACUUCUACAACAUCACUACCCAGUAGAACUUUGUAUUACGCAAACCAAUUAUUACUAGGCCGCUCUCCCCAUAACUCAAUUCUGCCUAUGGACUCACUUGGAGUGGAGUGGAACAGUUGAUUAAACUGCUUAUAGGAUUUUCUCAGAUGUUCAUAUAUGUAAUUCACACACUCAAAACUCUGAACAAGUAAUACCUUCCUAUGUACAAUUAACUAUAUUUGUAUUUUUGGAUUGGCAGGCAAAUGAAUAAAAGAACAUCUUUUAUUUACCCGUA